rnacentral:rRNA from 1 species
UCGCGGCCUAUCAGCUAGUUGGUGGGGUAACGGCCCACCAAGGCUACGACGGGUAGGUGGUUUGAGAGAACGAUCAGCCACACUGGAACUGAACACGGUCCAGACUCCUACGGGAGGCCAGCAGUGGGGAAUCUUGCGCAAUGGGCGAAAGCCUGACGCAGCAACGCCGCGUGCGGGAUGACGGCCUUCGUGGUUGUAAACCGCUUUCAGCAGGGACGAAAAUGACGGUACCUGCAGAAGAAGCCCCGGCUAACUACGUGCCAGCAGCCGCGGUAAUACGUAGGGGGCAAGCGUUGUCCGGAUUCAUUGGGCGUAAGGAGCUCGUAGGCGGUUCAGUAAGUUGGGUGUGAAAGCUCCGGGCUCAACCCGGAGAGGCCACCCAAUACUGCUGUGACUAGAGUCCAGUAGAGGAGCGUGGAAUUCCUGGUGUAGCGGUGAAAUGCGCAAAUAUCAGGAGGAACACCAUUAGCGAAGGCGGCGCUCUGGGCUGGAACUGACGCUGAGGAGCGAAAGCGUGGGUAGCAAACGGGAUUAGAUACCCCGGUAGUCCACGCCGUAAACGUUGGGCACUAGGUGUGGGGAGGAGUCAACCCUCUCCGUGCCGUAGCUAACGCAUUAAGUGCCCCGCCUGGGGAGUACGGA